UACGUAGGGUGCGAGCGUUGUCCGGAAUUAUUGGGCGUAAAGAGCGUGUAGGCGGCUUGACAGGUCUGCUGUGAAAACUCGAGGCUCAACCUCGAGAUGUCGGCGGAAACCGUCUGGCUAGAGUCCGGAAGAGGAGAGUGGAAUUCCUGGUGUAGCGGUGAAAUGCGCAGAUAUCAGGAAGAACACCUAUGGCGAAGGCAGCUCUCUGGGACGGUACUGACGCUGAGACGCGAAAGCGUGGGGAGCGAACAGG
rnacentral:rRNA from 1 species